UAGCUCAGUUGGUAGAGCACAGCUUUCGUAAAGCUGGGGUCGCGUGUUCGAGUCACGCAAGCGGCACCA
rnacentral:tRNA from 1 species